UGCCACCUAGCCUUAGCUGCGCUCGUUCGCGACUAGCAUGCAAAUAUUUACAAAGCUCACAAUUUGACCUAGGACAACCCUGUAAAAACUUUGCUAAUAUCUACAACAUAUCAACUGCACAUAUUUUACUUUUGAAUACCCUUUGAAAUAUUCAUAUUUCAUCUUAGCCUGUGAUGUAGAAUAUAACAACGUCAGACAUAAACCAGGAACGUUAUUAACUUUAGUAAUAUAGCACUGUUUGAACAGGAAUCGUAGUCCCAUCCAUGGUCUCUAUUUUCACAAAACUGUUGUCUUUCAGAAUGGAAACCAUGCAGUGGAGCCUUGAGUGGGCUAGGGGGGGCUGAUACAUGUUGCUUCAGCAGAUGACCGAGUUGAUCAAGUAUCUUAGUUCAUUCAGGAGAUUUGUACCUCUGGCUGGCAUGCACAACAAGCCAGUUCCGGUACCGGGCUCCUCGGACAUGGAGAGGAGCUAGAGGUGCACCUUGUUAUGCCAUCACUCAAGAGCAACGGAGGUUUCUGAUGUCCUGUGCUUUCAGUGUGUCUCAAAUGGUAGAUAUUCUACUACAUGUGUCCCGAUCUACAGUCAAACGUUGUCUAAGACACUUCAAUCUGUCACAUGCACCGUUAUAUUCUGACAUGUCAGACUUGCCUCUGGAUGAAAAGAUUAAGGACUUGGUGGCUGGGAACGACAAACUUGGACCGGAGGCUGUUCGAGCACAAUUAAGGGCUCCGGGUGCAUAGUCGCAGAGUGAGUGACAGCAUGCUUCGUGUUAACCCAAGGGCGGCUGCACUCAGAGCCAUGUCGCAGAGGCUGCAUAGAAGGUCAUACCGUGUUGCGGGACCAAACUCAUAAUGGCACCUUGAUGGAAACUACAAACUGAUAGACACAAACAUCUUUAUCACUGGUGAGAAUUUGUACAUUGUAACAUCUCAAAUCGUUCAUCAACAACUUGUUCAUCAACAAUUAACAGUUCAGUUUAGCAAGCAACGGCCCUUGAUACCAUACAUCACUCAUGUGGAGAAUAAUUGUUUUGUGUUUCUGCUACUUCUGUGAUUGAUAGAAUAUCUGCAUCAUGAAAUUAACAAACAUGCUUAUAUUGAGGACAUAUGGAGGUGUAAGGUUCUGCUUUUCUAUUCUUAAUCAACCUUGUGUUCUUUUUCUUUGUGUCCUGUCUCAUUUUUGUUCAUUGAUUUCGCCUGUGUUCUUU